AUACGGAGGAUCCGAGCGUUAUCCGGAUUUAUUGGGUUUAAAGGGUGCGCAGGCGGCCAUUUAAGUCAGCGGUUAAAUCGUGGGGCUCAACCCCAUUCUGCCGUUGAUACUGGGUGGCUUGAUUGCGGUCGAGGUUGGCGGAAUUCGUUGUGUAGCGGGGAAAUGCAUAGAUAUGACGAAGAACACCGAUUGCGUAGGCAGCUGACCAGACCGCAAAUGACGCUCAUGCACGAAAGUGCGGGGAUCGAACAGGAUUAGAUACCCUGGUAGUCCGCACAGUAAACGAUGAAUACUUGUUUUCGGCGAUAUAAUGUCGGAGGCAAAGCGAAAGCGAUAAGUAUUCCACCUGGGGAGUACGCCGGCAACGGUGAAACUCAAAGGAAUUGGCGGG
rnacentral:rRNA from 1 species